CCUACGGGCGGCAGCAGUGGGGAAUAUUGGACAAUGGGGGGAACCCUGAUCCAGCCAUGUCGCGUGUGUGAAGAAGGCCCUCGGGUUGUAAAGCACUUUCAGUGAGGAAGAACGCCUGGUGGUUAAUACCCAUCAGGAAAGACAUCACUCACAGAAGAAGCACCGGCUAACUCCGUGCCAGCAGCCGCGGUAAUACGGAGGGUGCGAGCGUUAAUCGGAAUUACUGGGCGUAAAGCGCGCGUAGGUGGCUUGAUAAGCCGGUUGUGAAAGCCCCGGGCUCAACCUGGGAACGGCAUCCGGAACUGUCAAGCUAGAGUGCAGGAGAGGAAGGUAGAAUUCCCGGUGUAGCGGUGAAAUGCGUAGAGAUCGGGAGGAAUACCAGUGGCGAAGGCGGCCUUCUGGACUGACACUGACACUGAGGUGCGAAAGCGUGGGUAGCAAACAGGAUUAGAUACCCGAGUAGUC
rnacentral:rRNA from 1 species